rnacentral:rRNA from 1 species
GUCUACAGCCAUCCACCCUGAAUAAACUCAAUCCCGUCUGAUCUUGGAAGCUAAACAGGGUUGGCCCUGGUUAGUACUUGGAUGGGAGACCACCUAGGAAGACCAGGUGCUGUAGGUG